rnacentral:rRNA from 1 species
UGCGAAUGGCUCAUUAAAUCAGCUAUGGUUCCUUAGAUCGUACCUACUACAUGGAUAACUGUAGUAAUUCUAGAGCUAAUACAUGCCACUAUGCCCUGACCCGCAAGGGGACGGGUGGAUUUAUUAGAACAGAACCAACCGGUUGUGGCUUCGGUCGCUUCCGUUGUACUCUGUGAUGACUCUGGAUAACUUCACUGAUCGCAGUCGGCCUUGUGUCGGCGACGGAUCUUUCAAAUGUCUGCCCUAUCAAUUUUCGAUGGUAGGUGACCUGCCUACCAUGGUGAUAACGGGUAACGGGGAAUCAGGGUUCGAUUCCGGAGAGGGAGCCUGAGAAACGGCUACCACUUCCAAGGAAGGCAGCAGGCACGCAAAUUACCCAAUCCCGGAACGGGGAGGUAGUGACGAAAAAUACGGAUACGGGACUCGUAUGAGGCUCCGUAAUUCGAAUGAGUACAAUUUAAAUCCUUUAACGAGGAUCAACUGGAGGGCAAGUCUGGUGCCAGCAGCCGCGGUAACUCCAGCUCCAGAAGCGUAUAUUAAAGUUGUUGCAGUUAAAAAGCUCGUAGUUGGAUCUGGGUCGUAUGGCUACGUGCCGUCGCCCGUAAUCGAAGCUUGGUUCCGACUAGGUCAAGUUUGCGGGUCGGUUUCGUGGCUGUGCAGCCUUUCUGCCGUGUCUGUUUCGACAGGUGCCGGCCUAAUCGAUGGGCUUGUCUCGUUGGUUGGUUGGCAUGCUUCCAGAUGCCUUUGAACGGGUGUCGGGGGCGGACGGUACGUUUACUUUGAACAAAUUUGAGUGCUCAAAGCAGGCCUGUGCCUGAAAAUUCUUGCAUGGAAUAAUGGAAUAGGACUUCGGUUCUAUUUUGUUGGUUUUCGGAUCCGAAGUAAUGGUUAAGAGGGACAGACGGGGGCAUUUGUAUGGCGGUGUUAGAGGUGAAAUUCUUGGAUCGCCGCCAGACAAACUACAGCGAAAGCAUUUGCCAAGGAUGUUUUCAUUGAUCUGGAGCGAAAGUCAGAGGUUCGAAGACGAUCAGAUACCGUCCUAGUUCUGACCAUAAACGAUGCCAACUGACGAUCCGUGGGUGAUCUUUUAAUGACCCUGCGGGCAGUCCCCGGGAAACCUUUAAGUCUUUGGGCUCCGGGGGAAGUAUGGUUGCAAAGCUGAAACUUAAAGGAAUUGACGGAAGGGCACCACCAGGAGUGGAGCCUGCGGCUUAAUUCGACUCAACACGGGAAAACUCACCCGGCCCGGACACUGUGAGGAUUGACAGAUUGAUAGCUCUUUCUUGAUUCGGUGGUUGGUGGUGCAUGGCCGUUCUUAGUUGGUGGAGCGAUUUGUCUGGUUAAUUCCGAUAACGAACGAGACUUUGGCCUGCUAAAUAGUAUACCUGUCCUCUGUGCUCGUGCAGGUGGCGGUUCUCUCUGCCCUUUCGGGGGUGGGUGAGGCUGUUUACCGGCGGGUACUGCGCAGGCAUUUACUUCUUAGAGGGACAAGCGACGCGAAAGUCGCACGAAAAUGAGCAAUAACAGGUCUGUGAUGCCCUUAGAUGUCCGGGGCCGCACGUGCGCUACAAUGACGGUUUCAGCGAGUUUUGAAUCCUGGCCCGAAAGGGUUGGGCAAACUGAAUCAUCACCGUCGUGACUGGGAUCGGGGCUUGCAAUUAUUCCCCGUGAACGAGGAAUUCCUGGUAAGUGCAAGUCAUAAGCUUGCGCUGAUUACGUCCCUGCCCUUUGUACACACCGCCCGUCGCUACUACCGAUUGAAUGGUUUAGCAAGGUCAUCGGAUCGGUGCCAUUGUAGUUGUUUCGGCAACUCGACCGGUGCUGAGAAGACGACCAAACUUGAUCAUUUAGAGGAAGUAAAAGUCGUA